GAAAUAGUUUACACGUGCAUUUGGCCGCAUAGCAGGACGGUUCAAUCACUUAGGGUUGUUACCCGUUGGCAUCUCAACACCGAUUUGUACAACUACCCCAAGCGAUGUUGUCCUCCAAGCACGUGUGCCACGCCUCCUUUCAAGUCGCUAUUAAUCAUUCCAGAGAGAAAGAGAAGGGGGAAGAGAUAGCGACAGAGACGACGACGUUGAGAAAGACGACGACAUUGUACCAAGCACCCCAACCGGCGCAGAAUGUGAUUGCAAAACUGGCGCAUGUAUAGACUUCGGAGAAGACAGCAGAAGGCUGCCGGUGAUCAACGAGCCCGGUACUGCUACGUAUCUUCCUAAAGUUUUCGCCAUCACGAAAUGAAACUGUCCACAUCAUAACGAACACAGCCUCUGAGCAUGUAAAUGAAUCCCACUUUUAUAGCACACAUUUGUACGGAAGAGAUAUAAGGACUGUCGGUAGCACAGCAAAUAUAUAACGUAGACUUUAAACAAACCCGAAUCGCAUCUUGACCAACCCAGUUCUACAGCGUUAAGACAUAAAUGCACAGGUGAAAGUUAUAUAUAUUAUAUAUAUUAUGACCUGCAAUCAUAUUACGAACAAGCACAUAUAAACGACAUAAACAAGCAAGCAUGACAGCGCUAUGUAAUCUGCUGCAAGCACAUCAGCUCUAUAACACUUGCAGGGCUCGCGGUGUGCGCCUCGCCCAACAGAUACCAGCAGGAUUUGCCGCCGUCCGUAUGCACAUCGGCCUCCCAGGAGUAUCUUAAUUGGGCAAGAGACAAUAUACACAAAGCACGAAAUCGCAAAGCUGCGGCAAUUAAAGACAGGGAAACGCUACCCCCAAAGUGCUCUCUAGAGCCCAGCCACGGCCCCAGGAACGCCGACCCACAAUCAUCCAACAAAAAUGAACGCACGCAGCGUACAAACGAGGCAUAUUACAAGCCCAUGUCGACGUGGGUGCAGGACGCCGCUUACCUGCCGCUUACCUGCCGCUUUAUGUUAGUUUAUCAAAGAUUUUACUAAAGACCGAUAACAGGCUUAACCACAACUUAUAGCUUGAGGAUUGCCGCUUGAAACCUAUUGCCUUCGUUGCACCCUGUUACCCGGCGGCAAUGCAAGGCGGCAGCCCAGUGAAGCGAGAUCUGAGUGUGAAAGACAUGGUGAAAUAGUCGAUGGAUCUUCGCGUAGCCGCCAGAUCCACGUGGCGCACACGAGGCUCCCCUUGGUGGCUAAAUGCCGUUUACUCGCCUUACGAUUGGACGAAGCAGCAAUCCUUCAAAUUACCGCUUAACGGUUGUAUUCAGCGCCAUCGUAUAAAGGCGGCCUGCCUCGAGAAGGAGAAGAGCCCCUCCUGAGG
rnacentral:lncRNA from 1 species